UUUGCCCCUUGAGGCGUUGCAGUGCAGCCGUCCAUGUUGCAGCUGCGUCAUAAGGCGGCAGAAAGCAAAGGCGGUCGUCUGCACUGGGUCAGCACAACAAUUAUGACUCGGUGUCUUGCUGACCGCCAAUAUA